GACCCGGGGCCGCCGCGCAAGCGCCUCGCAACUGUGCCCUUGUCUGGGCUCCCGGCAGGACCCCAGCAGGCUGGCUCCCGGCUCGGGUACCACGCUGGCCCUCCACCCACCUGAGCUUCCUGGUGGGCUUCGGGGAACCUCCUCUUCCUCCUUUGGGGCUGGAGGCGGGGUGUUGGUGGCAAAAUGCGCGAAGUGAGGUGCCAAGGUUUUGCCACCGAAGAUUGAAAAGCAGUGCUGCGCGCGCGGAGAUCCUUCCUCUCGGCCCGAGGUGUUUCUCAGGCUUGACCUUGAAUCCACAGCCAUUGGCAUGGACCCAUAAACCCAAUCUGGGCAAUCAUGAUACUCCAUGAUUGUUUGGCAACAGUAAUUGGCUCAAAAGGUGACCGUGUGAUCCAAGCAGGGCCCAACUAUGUAACUUCUCUAGAACUGAAGUUUGGAUAUCAGAAGAAAGAAGUUUUGUCCACUGCAGCCGCUAAAUAGAGAGACUGUCGAUUUGGGGCUACUGGCGGUCAUCUUUUCCACCACGCGGAGAGUCUGUUUACAGAGUGAAGUUUGUGUAGUAAAGGACUAACCUUACCCAAAGAAAGAUGUGGCCUUUGCCCUUUGCUCCUGGGAGAAGCUCUUUAAACCCCUGGCAAGUCCUACCUGACAAGAGUGUCUCUGUGUACCCCGGGGACUUGGGCCUCACCAGGUGGCCUAACAAUGUGAUGAUAAGAUGGAAACUGGGACACGGAGAGGGAGAAGACCAUGGGAAGGUGGAGGCAGAGAUUAGAGUGAUGCGUCUACAAGCCAGAAAACCCGAGGAUUGUCAGCAGUGUCCAGCAGCUAGGGAGAGGCAAGGGAGGGUCCCGGCCUAGAGUUUUCAGGGAGAGCGUGGCCCGACCAACAUCUCCAUCUUGGACUUCUAGCUUCCACAACUGUGAGGCAAUAUACCUCAUUUUUUAAGGUUCCCUGGUGGUUUUAUGGAGGCGCUCCUUACAAUCACAAUAAGAACUGCAGGGUUGGACUAGUUACCACAUAAGCUCCAGUUAGAAUGUGUCUGUGAACCAUCAAGCAAGCGGCCCUGGGCCCAGUGAGUGCCCCAGGCACUCCUAGUCGAUAGCGGCACUAUCGAUAUAGGCUUUGACCAUCACAAAGCCGACUGAAAGGAAAAGGCCUCACUGAGGACGUAAUGUUUCAGCCCAUAUCUGAAGGAGGUGAGGGAGAGAGUGUGAAGUGUCUGAAAAACGAGCAUUCCUGGUGGAAGCACUUUCUAGAGUGUGGUCAGACAGUUCUCUUAGUUUUUCCAUAAACAUGUACGGUCUUCAGUUAUUUUAGAGAACACAUUCCAGAAAAUAACACACUUAGGUUCUGUUGACCAACGUGUGGAGCAACUAUCAGAAGACCCUGGGCAAUGAGCGUUCGCUUUUUAACCUUCCAUUCACUCCUCAUCCCCAUGCAAUCUGGCUUCUGGACAUGUGAUGUUGCAACGUUUAAGACUGAAGCAAAUAAGUAAAACCAGCUGUCUUCUAUUGAGCCCGACAUGGAGACGUGGAGAAAUCCAAAGAUUUUCUCACUGAGAGAGAGACAUCUGAGUAAAGACCAAAGAGGUGAGAGAAACUGAAAAGAGAGUAAAACAGGAUUUAAGAAUUGCUGCACACUGCAUAUUCGUAUGUGUUAAAAAUGCAAUUAAAAGUAAUUCUUUAGGGGCACCUGGGUGGCUCAGUUGGUUAAACAUCUGACUCUUGGUUUUGACUCAGGUCAUUAUCUCACCAUUUGUGAGUUUGAGCCCCAUGACGGGCUCCGCACUGACAGCGCGGAGCCUGCUUGGGAUUCUUUCUUUGCCUCUCCCUCUGCCCCUCCCCUGCUCACUUGGACUCUCAUUUCUCUCUCUCUCUCACAAUAAAUAAAUAAACUUAAAAAGUCAGUUUUCUGGGUUGUGUAUUUUUGGAAAAUACACUGUUCAGAGAUAGUGCAAAGUGGCAAUCUAUUCCAUUUGGUUGCAGAGGUCAUUUUAGAGUCUCUGAUCUUUUUCCUUUACCUCCAAAAUACAUAUAUAUCUUCAAUUUUUUACUUGCUUUCUACGAUCUCAGUGGGUUAAAAUGGUGGUUUAUUAUUAGUGCAGCUCAGUACAAUGCACUUGGCCAGGACGGGGAAGAUGCUGUGUGCUCCCACAGUGAACCAAAGAAUGGGUGCACUGUCUGUGGAGAAUUAAAAAAAAAUUGAAUGUUUAUUUAUUUAUUUUGAGGGAGAGAGACACACAGUAAAAGUAGGGAAGGGGCAGAGAGAGGAGAGAGAAAUCCCAGGCAGGCUCCAGGCUGUAAGCACAGAGCCUGAUGUGGGGCUAUAACUCACGAAAUCGUGAGAUCGUGACCUGAGCUGAGAUCAACAGUCGAACACUUAACCGACUGAGCUACCCAGAUGCCCCUGCAAAUUUAAAACUGACUCUGGGGUGCCUAUGUGGCUCAGUUGGUUAAGCGUCUGACUCUUGAUCUUGGCUCAAGUCAUGAUUUCAUGGUUUCGUGAGUUCAAGCCCUGCAUGGGGCUCUGCACUGACAGUGCGGAGCCUGUGUGGGAUUCUCUCUCUCUCCUUCUUUGUCUGCUUCUCUCCCACUUGCAUAAGCAUGCACUCUCUAAAAAUAAAUAAAUAAACUUAAAAAAUAUGACCAUGAAAUGGAAUAAAAGUCAACUGCUUUUAGUGAUCACCAUGA